AUGUCACAUUUUUUGUGGGGUGACGAGGACAACCAGAAGAGGAUGCAUUGGAUGGCUCGGUGGAAAAUGCGUGUCCCAAAGAAUCAAGGGGGGAUGGGCUUUCGAGAUAUCCAAUGUUUCAAUCUAGCGAUGCUGGCAAAGCACGCUUGGCGGUUAAUCGAGAAUCCUGAAUCCCUUAGUGCUACUAUUUUGAGAGUGAAGUACUUUCCUGAUGGGGAUUUACUGAAUGCACAUCUGAAAAAGGGAUCUUCGUUCACCUGGCAGAGUAUCAUGGCGGGAGUGAAUUCUCUAAAACGUGGGUAUAUAUGGAGAGUGGGGAAUGGUCAGAAUAUUGAUAUUUGGGAGGACGGCUGGAUCCCAAAGUGUGCGGAUAGGAAAGUCAUCACGCCAAGAGGGAACCAUCUAAUCUCUCGGGUUGCUAAUUUUAUUGAUCCUAUUUCUAAUGAGUGGGAUGUGGAACUGGUUAGACAAACUCUUUGGUCCAUUGACGCACGACGAGUACUUCCUAUCCCUCUCUCUCAACAUGAUAUGCCGGAUUUUGUUGCAUGGAGCUAUACAAAAAUUGGUAUGUUCUCAGUUCGGUCAGCGUAUUUCAUGGAAUGGGAACAUUAA
rnacentral:rRNA from 1 species